GGCUUAAAGGGAUCAAACGAGAUAAAAAAUGGAGUUAAAACAUAUUUAAAAUCAAAGUCGAAAAUCCAUGGAACCAAUUAACAAGCUGGUGGUCCACCAUGGACCACGUGGUCUAUCAGAAGCUUGGUGAGCCAUAUGAGAAGCUACAGUAACAUCUUAAAAACCUUUCACGUGGCUGACAAGGGAAACAGUGGAUUUUUUUCGCGAGCGGGUGCAUGUGGGUCCGACCAAGCGGAAGCUGGGCACGCAUUCGGCUUAGCGUGGCCUUCACGCA
rnacentral:lncRNA from 1 species